AGACACGCGCACACACGCGCGCGCGAGCGAUGAACGUCGCUUCCGUCAGAGUCACCCUCCACUCUCUCCCUCUCCCUCCCUCUCUCUCUCUCCCUCCCUCUGCUUUUCCUUCCUUCUGUGACCACCCACCAAACUCUAAGCAUUCACACUACACUGCCAGGCAGUCGCGACAUCAACCCUCCACCUCCUGGAGUGACCACUCACCACUACUACUAAAGAAGAAAAAAAAAAAGAAAUCACGUGAUGCCUAAGCGUAAUGUGAUUGGCGGAGAUUUCCUGGAGUAAGUGGUGACGUUCCCCGUCCAGGUCGUGAUGUGAUGACGCGCGAGUGGUCAGAGGAGCGAGUGACCAUGUGACCAUGUGUCGUGCUAUUAUUGGAUAAUCCAGCCACAACGCCACACCGGACAUUACGUCAUUACCUGUUGGAUGGACAUUUUACCUCGGUUCUUUUUUCCUCUCUACGGACACACGGCAAGCUAUAUUUAGCUUGAGUAACCGACGACUAACCUGGAACCUUGUGAACGUCUGUUGCAUUCAUUCUGAGCGGAUUUUUUUAUCAGGAGUUCAUGUUCUGCAUGUAUUCGUGGAGUAAUAGUGUCGAAGAUAUGAACAGGAAAAUGACAUUUAUUACAGAUUAGUGACUAUUUUAGAACAGUGGCAAAAACAGGACUGUGGCAAAGUCUAAACAAUGACAAAGAUAGGCAA